rnacentral:rRNA from 1 species
AUGAAGAACAACAAAGACAAAAGGGCAAAAUAUAUCAAUGUGCCUAUUGCCAACUUUGAUGAGAUGGAGUUCAUAUUGCAGGAUAAGCAUGCUACCGGGGAGUUCACGGUCCUUCAAACACCCUAUGACCGUGUUCAUGCUCGUGACAAGGAUUUUAUUGGUGACACCGAGAAGCGUGCGAUUGAUAUUGAGAUUGAUCCUGCAACACAAUAUGAUUCAGAUUGUCUUCCUGAUGACACCAAUAAUGAAAGCUCGUCUUCGAAGCAUCCUAGACGCGGCAAAAGCGGUAAAGGUAAGAAGGUGAAGUGUGAGGAGAGUGUAGUUCAAGACAUGACGCGGUCUCUGCGUGAUAUGUCGGAUACUAUGCGUUUCACACAUGUGACCAACCCGAAUGAGAAUUUAUUCAAAAUAAUUGAUGACAUGGAAGAAUACCCUCUCUUUGUCCGACUUGCACUACAUACGUCUUUGGCCACCAAUGAACAAGUGGCGUCCAUGUUGAAAGGGAGGCCGAUGACUGCUAUUCAAGAGUUUGCGCGGCACUGGGUCAGUGAUAACUUUCCUGAACACGUUCAUGUUGCUCCUGACGUGUGA